GACGAACGCUGGCGGCGUGCCUAAUACAUGCAAGUUGAGCGCUGAAGGUUGGUACUUGUACCAACUGGAUGAGCAGCGAACGGGUGAGUAACGCGUGGGGAAUCUGCCUUUGAGCGGGGGACAACAUUUGGAAACGAAUGCUAAUACCGCAUAAAAACUUUAAACACAAGUUUUAAGUUUGAAAGAUGCAAUUGCAUCACUCAAAGAUGAUCCCGCGUUGUAUUAGCUAGUUGGUGAGGUAAAGGCUCACCAAGGCGAUGAUACAUAGCCGACCUGAGAGGGUGAUCGGCCACAUUGGGACUGAGACACGGCCCAAACUCCUACAGGAGGCAGCAGUAGGGAAUCGUCGGCAAUGGACGAAAGUCUGACCGAGCAACGCCGCGUGAGUGAAGAAGGUUUUCGGAUCGUAAAACUCUGUUGGUAGAGAAGAACGUUGGUGAGAGUGGAAAGCUCAUCAAGUGACGGUAACUACCCAGAAAGGGACGGCUAACUACGUG
rnacentral:rRNA from 1 species